rnacentral:rRNA from 1 species
AAACCAGCACCUCAAGUUGUCAGGAGGAUUAUUGGGCCUAAAGCAUCCGUAGCCUGCUCUGAAAGUUUCCGGUUAAAUCCAUUAGCUCAACUAAUGGGCUGCCGGAAAAACUGCAAAGCUAGGGAGUGGGAGAGGUAGACGGUAUUCGGUAGGAAGGGGUAAAAUCCUUUGAUCUAUUGAGGACCACCUGUGGCGAAGGCGGUCUACCAGAACACGUUCGACGGUGAGGGAUGAAAGCUGGGGGAGCAAACCGGAUUAGAAACCCGAGUAGUCC